rnacentral:lncRNA from 1 species
ACUCGUCAUAAACGUUGAUAAAAUAUUAAACUGUUAUUCAAAGAAUUAUAGAUGAACAUCUCCUUUAUGCAACCGCUGUGACAGAUUUCAAUAAAGCUUUACUGGGAAAGCACACUUUGCAAUAAUCUGAGUACGGCGCUCAGAAACAUACACCAGGCAAUACAGAUACCCGCCAUUUUGGAAUGAAGAGGAGAGGCCGUGUACUGGCUGAUUUAGGAGAGAUGAAGGGGAGAGGCUGAUUUAGGAGAGAUGAAGAGGAGAGGCUGAUUUAGGAGAGAUGAAGAGGAGAGGCUGAUUUAGGAGAGAUGAAGAGGAGAGGCUGAUUUAGGAGAGAUGAAGAGGAGAGGCUGAUUUAGGAGAGAUGAAGAGGAGAGGCUGUGUACUGUCUGAUUUAGGAGAGAUGAAGAGGAGAGGCUGAUUUAGGAGAGAUGAAGAGGAGAGGCUGUGUACUGUGACAGCGUGACAGGUGCAAGAGUAGCUCUGUUUGUUAUACUGUACUUUAGAUGGAGGCUGGGCCUCCUCCUGUGG